AUUGAACGCUGGCGGCAUGCCUUACACAUGCAAGUCGAACGGCAGCACGGGAGCAAUCCUGGUGGCGAGUGGCGAACGGGUGAGUAAUAUAUCGGAACGUGCCCAGUCGUGGGGAUAACGUAGCGAAAGCUACGCUAAUACCGCAUACGAUCUAUGGAUGAAAGCGGGGGAUCGCAAGACCUCGCGCGAUUGGAGCGGCCGAUAUCAGAUUAGGUAGUUGGUGAGGUAAAGGCUCACCAAGCCGACGAUCUGUAGCUGGUCUGAGAGGACGACCAGCCACACUGGGACUGAGACACGGCCCAGACUCCUACGGGAGGCAGCAGUGGGGAAUUUUGGACAAUGGGCGCAAGCCGUGAUCCAGCAAUGCCGCGUGCAGGA
rnacentral:rRNA from 1 species